ensembl:lincRNA
UGCUUCCCAAAUUACCGUGAUUUACAUUUGUUUAUGUAUGUCAUGGGGGGGAUUCUGUAACGUGUUGAGAUCUAGUACAUUCAUGUUGCUUAACUUGGUGCAUUCCUUGAUAAUUGUUUCUGGAACACCUUUUUUGUAUUGAUGAAAUGCUAAGGUUGAAAAAAACACAGAAGUGGGGGAUCUGCUUACUUUUUCCUUGGAAUGGCAGAUAUGGAACAGCAGCCUGGUGCACAUGCAAUCAGAUGUUUCCUCUGGUUGCCAGAAAUCAAGAGCCCCUUCAGGCUUGGCUGUUCUCCAGAUGCCAAGAAAUCUCCUAUUUUUUCCAGCCCCUCUCUAUUUGUGCCGGACCUGUGGACAGCAUUAACCACUGGCUAUUUGCCAGACGCCCCCUGGAAGUCAGCAGUGAACAGGGAUUAUACAAAUCCCAUUGGCGGAAUCACUCCUCGUCCGACACCACACCGGGACUCUGGAGUUCUGCCACACAUUGGAGGCCGAAAUUAUUCAUGAAGGGAAAAAGUGUCAGCUGCACUCCCAAUAUCCCCCAGAUAAAGACCCUUCACUUUUAUAUCAGUCUAGAGGGAUAAGCUUUCAACUGCAGCUACACCGCUUUUUUAUUUACUCUCUAUUCCAAGUCAUACCAUUUAAGGAAGAAUCUUGCAUUCACAGACUUAAAACAAAUAACACAAAUAAGUGUAAUUAGCACAUUUCAUAAGGGGGAAAAUGAAAACCGUUUGAUAGAAAUACAUUUUCUAUACAUAUUGCACAGAACAUUUCCUGCCUGCCCUGGGUGUAAGCUUUCAUAUUUAACACUUUAAACACAUGUUCUUACAAAGUUCUUACCCGGGUCACAAGCCUUAUAAUUUUUUCCUCACAUACUAUAGGUUUUGUACAGCUUAUUACUUAUUAUACAGCUGAGCAUAUAGGGAAAGUAUCCAAAUCCAUUUCUCUGACGUCUGGCUAAAGAUGAUGGAACAAAAAUUCAAACUACUCCUAUUUAAGAAGAGAAAAGCAUGCUGAGAUCUAAUGUAUUAGGAAGCUGCCAAAUAAUUCUUCAAAUUAUUCACCAUCAUUUAUCAGGUAAUUCUGUGUUCCAGCCCUCGUGCACGUUGACAUCUGACUCAGGGCACUUGCCUGGCUGAUAAUUGCUGAACAGUCAAAACUGUCCAUCCAUCACUGUUGGUCAAUGUUGUCUGAUCUCACAAUAAAUUAUUCAGAGAUUAAGGCAGUUCUGAGGGGAAAUGAUCAGUAGCUUCUUGUACUGGAAAGAACAUGAAAAUGAGGAUUAAAGUUGUAGAACAGGAAUUAAAUCUGUAAGAGAUCUGUAAACUAAUGACUCAUCUUUUCUCACCCAGAGUAAAAACUGAGUGUUGUCAGUUGUCAGAGUUACUUCCUCUAAGACCAAUAACUACUGCAACAUUUCACCUGCUUGAGAUGCAAAUAAGUACCUAUAUUCAAAGUUAGAUUGUCGAUAAAGAAACUUACCUGGAGCACAGUUUGAGCCUUAAAUCCUAGACAUCACCUGUUUCAAUGGGGGCUAUGUUAGCUACCCAGGCUGUGACUGAUAUUCUCCAAGCAGUGGUGCUGCUCAAAUGGUUUGUACUUUUAUUACAUCUAGACUGGAAUAAAGCAGAGUUCCUUUUACUGGAUU